UGCCCUUAGGAUGGAGAUAACUCCGGGAAACUGGAUCUAAUAUUCAAUAGGUGAAUUUUCCUGGAAUGGUUUUUCGCUGAAAGGACAUUAAGAGCAUGCUUUUGAUGUUGCCUAAGGAUGGGACUGCGGCCGAUCAGGUUGUUGGUGGGGUAACGGCCUACCAAGCCUAUAACCGGUACGGGCCCUGAGAGGGGUAGCCCGGAGAUGGGAACUGAGACAAGGUCCCACGCCCUACGGGGCGCAGCAGCCGCGAAAACUCCACAAUGCACGAAAGUGUGAUGGGGUUAUCCCGAGUGCUGUCCAAUGAGGAUGGCUUUUACCUGGU
rnacentral:rRNA from 1 species